UGAUUGAAGGUAAAGGUGAAGUUAAAAUGAAGCACUUAGGGUAGAUCCUAGUCCAGGGCCUUGGGAAUCCAGACAAACACAAAAGGGUGAAGACACAGAAAUCAGACAAGUAAGUACAAGGCAAGGAGAAAGUUCUGGAACAGAUCAUCACUCUCAAGCCUCAGACGUGCACAGACUCUCAGCUUUCCAGCAUCUAUCACCCCCAAAAUGGGAAACUUCUGCCCUUGGCUGCACUUUGUUGCAACAGACCUGGCAGAAGUCCAAACAAGACAAAAAGCUGAUUCUGCAGCCUACCCCUGCCUGCCAGCUGAUCGGCCUUGUUCAAGCUGGAGAACCUCUGGAGAGUCCAGCUCUGUAUGGGGUUCUUUCUUCCGAGCAAACCCUUAAGCUGUGGGAGGGCUGGAUCUGUGUGAUCUGACCUGUACCUGUCCCGGGCUUCCUUGCAGCUCCCCUGAGACAGCUUUUCCCUGUGAAGCUAGCCAGCAACUCCCAUCAGUAGCAGGCAAGAAUCCCAGGACUCACUCGACGAACCAGCCUCGUCUGGCUGGAUUCUUGAAGAACAUAUGGAGUCACCCU
rnacentral:lncRNA from 1 species